rnacentral:lncRNA from 1 species
AUGGUGACCUCGUGUUGUUCAUCAUCUCCUUUGGGACCUGGCUGCAGCUCUCAGCAUCUCCCAGCAUUGGCCUCGCUUUCCAGAACGGCACCUACGAGCUCAGCAGAUGAGCAAAUCUGCAUUGGCAGGAACAUUUGUGGGAAAGCAACAUCACGUCGCAUGCCUGUGCGAGUAAAUAUUCACUAGAGGAUCCACGUCGAAAGCGCUCGCGCGGCCCUUGGCGAAUUCUCUCCCAAUUACUCAGCAGAGAGAGCUGUUGGAUGUUUAUGGCUGUUUGGUGGGCAACUGGCAGGCGGGCUGGGAAGACUUGUAAUGUACCAAAGCCUUUGAUCGUCAAGGCUGGGAUGGGAAUGAAAGCAUCUGCCCUGGGUUGACUGAUUGAGUGGCACCUGGUGGCCCAGACUCAUAGGGAUUCAUUGGGUCUGCCCAUGUAGGCUGUUCAUCAGAGCUGGAUGAUGGGGAGCAUGUGGAUGGGCUGCUUGUAGAUUGUUAUGGCUUCAACUGAGGGCUGGAUUUGCAGGAUAAAUGAACAGAGCCUUAUUCGAUCAAUGUGAGGGGAAUAUGAAGACUUUAUUUACCUUUCAAUUCCGAGUGUUCUUGAGGCUGUUACCAAUUAAUGUGUGUGCUUCUGGAGAGCUGUUAUGGAGUGAUGAUUUAUCUCACGGGGUUCCCAAAUUCUCU